AGAAAGCGUAAUAGCUCACUGGUCUAGUUAAGCCACCUUGCGCCGAAGAUGUACCGGGGCUCAAGCCGUACACCGAAGCUGAGGGCAUGGAUUUAUCCAUGCGGUAGCGGAGCGUUCCGUAGGCCUGCGAAGGGGGAGUGUGAACUCUCCUGGAGGUAUCGGAAGUGCGAAUGCUGACAUGAGUAGCGACAAAGAGGGUGAGAGACCCUCUCGCCGAAAGUCCAAGGUUUCCUGCGCAAUGCUAAUCAGCGCAGGGUUAGUCGGCCCCUAAGGCGAGGCAGAAAUGCGUAGUCGAUGGGAAGCAGGUUAAUAUUCCUGCACCAGUGGGUAGUGACGGAUCUCGUGUGUCGUCAGUCCUUAUCGGAUUGAACUGGCGGCGAAGAGGUCCCUGGAAAUAGCUCCCACAUUAGACCGUACCCCAAACCGACACA
rnacentral:rRNA from 1 species